rnacentral:lncRNA from 1 species
UUACAAUUGGAAUAAACGCGUACAAAUAAUGUCAACAUGAUUAACGACAAAUUAGAGAAAACAACCGCACUAAUCACACCGGCACCUGUAAAUACUGAAACCGACACGUGUCGAGCGAACAAAAAAUGGACACGCGUCAUUAUAUAAUUGGCUAUGACCUAAAUCUAUUGAUAAUAGUAGAAACAAAGGUUGCUAUAUAAUGGAGUGAGAGUCUUACAGAGAAAAUCAAGAGUGGCGAGAGGUAAACAAAACAAAAGAAAUCUCAUAUUUUCAAGAGCUUUUAGAUUUGUGUUUUGAUUUUGAUUUUGAUUUUGAUUUUCUCUAAUCGUUUUUUAUUAUUCCCCUUCUGUAAUAUCCCGCUUCUCUGAAUCCCUUUCUGUUAAUUAUCUGUCUUUCAAUUUAUGAUUUUUGGGUUUGUCUUUUAAUCAAAUUAAAAAGUAACAAACUUAGAAGAAUUUUUCGAAAGCCAGGUGUUUUCAGAAUCGAGAUCCAGCUUUUAUUUUAACUGUAAAGUUCUUUGAAAUUAGCCACAAGAGGGUUGUUUUUGAUCCCUUCAAGGCUAUUUUUUUUCUUCUUAAUUCAAGGUUUGAAAGGAUUGUCUAUUUAAAAUCCCUUCUAUAUCCCUUGUUGAAUUUUUUUCCUUUAAUUAACCUGUUCUUCAAUUUUAGAAAGAUUCGGGUAUAAGUUUUCGCAGGAAAUAUGGCAGCUAUGAUGAAUUUAUACAAUAACAUACAACUUCGCUUAGAUCCAUAUUCAGAUCCUUUUAGAGGUGAAUUAAUGGAAGUUCUUGAACCUUUUAUCAAAAGUCCUUCUCCGAAUUCAACACCAUCACCUUCUUCUUCUUCUUCUUUCCAUUCUUUCUACAAUGAUGGUUGUUCAACAUCGAUGACCCAUGGAUUUACCAACGGGUUAUCGAAUAGCCAGAACUUCAUAGGCUUUGUUCAACAACCAUCUUCUUCUUCUCUUCUUGGUCUUAACCAUUUGACCCCAUCUCAAAUCAACCAGAUCCAAGCACAAAUCCAACACCAAAACUUUACCUUGCAACAACAUCAACAACAGCAACGUCUCAGUAACACUCUUAGCUUCCUCAGUCCGAAGCCAAUCCCUAUGAAGCACGUGGGUAAUACUCCUUCAAAACCCACGAAGCUAUACAGAGGGGUGAGGCAAAGGCACUGGGGAAAAUGGGUUGCUGAGAUCAGACUCCCUAAGAAUCGAACCAGGCUUUGGCUUGGUACCUUUGAUACAGCAGAAGAAGCUGCUUUGGCUUAUGACAAAGCUGCUUAUAAGCUUCGUGGUGACUUUGCUAGGCUUAAUUUCCCGAAUCUCAAACACCAAGGUUCAUGUAUUGGUGUCGGUGAGUUUGGUGAGUAUAAACCUCUUCCUUCCUCGGUUGAUGCUAAACUUCAAGCUAUUUGUGAAGGUUUAGCUGAGAUGCAGAAACAGGGGAAGUCAGAGAAGCCUAAAAAAACACCAGCGGCUCGGUCCAAAGCUGCGUCGAAGGUGGUACCUUCGCCGGAGACGGUGGAGAAGUCUGUUGAUGAUUUGGAGAAGGGUUCUGGUUCAGUUUCAGAAGGGUGUUGUAAGGUUGAAGCUUCGAUUUCUCCGGUGAUGACCGAGACCGAGAGUGAAGGUUCUUCACCACUUUCAGUUCUUACUUUUGGUGAUGUUGGUGAACCACAGUGGGAAGGUGAUUCGGAAAAUUUUAAUUUGCUGAAGUACCCCUCUUAUGAGAUUGAUUGGGAUUCUCUGUGAAGUUUAGUGUCCUUAUAUGUAAUUUUUUUAUAAAUUUUCUAGUGAAGAUUCUCAUGUCAUGCAUGUAACUAGAUUUUAGUUUCUUAGAAAAGUGGUUACUGCAAUGGAAUUUUUGACAAUUGCAGUGCUACUACUUUAAGUAUAUUAUUGUAAAAUCUCUUGUUACCUUGUUCACAGCUGGUUUUUUUCUUGCUUGGCCGGGAGAAGAGAAGACACUUGUUAUGUUUAUCAGUGUUCAUAUUUGUAGCUGAAUCUAUUUAUGAAAUAUAAGUAUAAAUAUUGUAGUAGUGUAGUGUUUUGUUUCUAGUUAUGUUGUUCUAUUUGUUAGAUCUACAAUCAUAUCUUCGAUGGAGUUAAAAAAAAUCAUCUGAACUCACUAUCUCAUUAUUUUGGAGAUUAUUUCCAAUACAAAUUGUCUUAAAUGGAUGUGCGCAGAGUUGGCCAACUGUGCCGAUCCCCAAUAAUUGCAUGAUACUGUUAAAUUAACUCCUCCUACCUACCUCGACAAUAUCAAAUCUAACCAGUUAAAUUUAAGAGUGAAAUUUUAAACAAUGCUAGUAUAAAUAUAAAAUUUAUACGGUCUCAUCUUGAUCUUAACAAUUUUUUAAGCAGUCAAAUAUAGCCGGCCUCUUAACAAUUAGCCUCAUAUAUUAUUGGAUUUGCCUCUGUCCGAAGGGAUCCAAAAUCGCACCAUUUUGAACACUCCAUGGACUUGCCUAUGUCGGAAGGGAAUCCAAAAUCACACCAUUUUGAAUAAAAAGUAUGGUUUGAAGAUGUAUAUUUAUAUAUUAUUUGGAUGUAUUUGAAGAUGCAUCUCUAAAAUAUCUCUUGUAUAUAUUUAUGAUGUUUUUAUUCACUGAACUAUUUUAUUUAGAGACUUAAUGAUGUUUCCAGAGAUUCAUCUUCAAAAAUAUUAAGCGGAGAUUUGGAUAAAAUCAGUUUUUCAACAACGAAGCAUCAUUCAUGUAUUUCAUCACAUCAAAGAUUCCAAAAGAAGUUGGAAUUGUAAGUAAAAUUCAUUCAUUUCAUCCCUCAUUCCUUGCAUUAAUGUGAUUUUUGAGUUGAAAAUAUGAACUUCGAGUCCAUAUAUGUAUCUCUGGACAAAGUUUGGUGUGGUACAAAUAUGGAUCUCCGUCUUUGCCUGAUACUUUGAAUCUUAAAAUAUGUUUUUUUAUGUUAUUUGUUGUAUUAGAUAUGGUGCAUUUGAAUAUAUUUUCCAAAGCUAUUGUGACCAUGAAUGUUAAACUAUAUGAAGUGAACGAUUAUGUUAGACCAAAUGAUGUUAAAUCGAUUGAUCGACCCGUUGUUGUCGAGGUAGAUAUUCGUGCAUAAUUUACAAAUAAGCAAGAGUUUAUGGAUCGUGAACAUAUGCUACAAUAGGUCGUAUGGAGGUUGGGAAAUUGGGGUUUGGCAUUGUAAUCGGAAGAUCCAACAAUGGUUCGAAUAAAAGACAAACAUUUGUAACAAUGAGAUGCGAAAAAAGUUGCAGUACCAACCACAAAUUAGGAAGUUGAAACGAGAUGACACUGAAUCAAGAAUAUGUGAGUAUCUGUUUAAAUUGCGCGAUUACCAUAUGGCAGAUGACACCAGGAAAUUUAAUGUGAUUUCCGGUAUACAUAAUCAUGUCUUGACUAACAAGCUAGCCAGUAAAUCCCAUUGUAUAUCGCCUUAUUCUAGAGGAAAGGGAUCUUGUUUCAGACAUGACAUUAGACAUAGUGGCGUCGAAAAACAUACUCGCAUCUUUGAAACAAAAAUGAACUCUAAAUAUUUUAAAUAUCAAGCAAAUAUACAACAUGCGUGCUCGAAACAACAAGGCAGUAUGAGGACCAAGAUUUGAGAUGCAACAACUAUUGAAGCAUUUGGAAGAUGACCACUAUGUUUCUAAGUAUAGAGUUUGUGAGGAUAAAGUCACCGUUCGAGGUAUAUUUUGGAGUCAUCCCGAUUCCAUCAAAUUGUUCAACACAUUUUCCACCGUGCUUAUAAUUGAUUCAACAUACAAAACAAACAAGUAUAUAUUUUCACUCCUAGAAAUUGGUGGUGUUACUUAUACGGAGAUGACAUAUUCAGCCGAUUUUGCAUUUUUGGAAUCCGAAAAGAGGACAAUGUUACAUGAAUUUGGAAAUGUGCAAGACUAUGUUAAAAGACCAAGAGAACAUGCCACAAGUAUUAGUCACCAAUCAUGACACCACACUGAUGAAUUCGAUUCCAAUUAUGUUUUCUACAUCGUAUGCAUCACUUUGUAAGUAUCACAUAAUAAAAAAAUGUGAGAAGUCGACAAAAACCUGCGUUUGACAAAAAAAAAAUCAAAGGUAACGAUGAAAAAAUGGUCAAACCCAGUGUCGUGGUGGAAAAGAUAGUGGAUGCAUGAAAUGGCAUAAUAAAUUCUUCCACGGAAGAAUUAUAUACCGAAUCUGUAAUACAUUUUAGGAAGGUGUGCGUGAGAUAUCCAGAUUUCAUGAAAUAUGUUAAGGGCACUAUUUUGGACAAGGUAAAAGAGAAGAUUGCUAGUGCAUGGACCGAUCAGGUUAUGUUAUUUUUCCAUUCUGCCAUUGGUCCUGGUUGUUUUUGGUUUGAACUAACAGAGUAUAUUCCAGAGAUGCAUCUCUGGAAAACUCAUUGAAUAUUGAACAGAGGGGUUUACGAAGAUGCAUCUCCAAACUUAAUUUUAAUAGAACAAGGGUUUCUCAACAAUUUCAUCUGAGGUGCGUGAAAAGGUGGGUUCGGAGACAGUUGUGACUUUUCACGGAGGUGGGGUUGCAAUCAUAAGGGUGGAAAGAGUAAUUAUCUCUUUUUAGGCAGGUAAAGACAUGCCAAUCCAACGUAUUUUGAAGAAGAAAUUUUAUUUAUGCUAUUUAAAAAAUAAUAUUUAAUUAAUAAUUAAAUCAGUUUUUUAAAUAAAUUCUUUUUAUGGUUUUAUAUAUAAUAAUAAUUUUUAUUAUUGUUCAGAGCUGGCUAAAAGUCUAAAUAGUUAAGGCCUAAUCCAUCUCAAAUUCACUCCACCUAACCAACGGUAUGAAACUAGUGCAUAAGAAAAACAAAGUACAUUAUCUAAUCUCCAUUUUUCAAUAUACUUAUCUCGAAUCUCGAUUUGACUUGGGCGUUGAAGUGCUAACUUUGCAGGUCCAUCCCAUGCCGGCAUAUUAUAGAUCAACACUACCGUUUCAAGACAUUUAAUUUUCCAAAUGCAUCUAUUUUUGGUUCCACAAUUGUAUCAUAUAUGGGAAUCGACUUCUGAUUUAUGCGAAAUUACAUUACCGGAUCAAUCUCGAUAUUAAGCCAACUCUCUAUCGGAAAUAAGAGAGUAGAGGCGGUAAAUUCGAUAGUCAUGUCAAGGUUCAUUAAUCCAUCUCUUGCAUCAAUCAUCAACCAGUUAUCACCGAUCAACGAAUUCCACAACAUUGCAUCAUUUAACACCCAUAUACAUCUUACCCACUUAGGUUCUUUAAAUAGGGUCCAUAACACCGCAGUUUUUGAGUUAUUAUUUUGACUGAUUUAUUUGUAUUUUAAUUUAUUUAUCACGUGCGAUAGUUGAAUUGAUUUGGAUGUGUGUGACCUUGAGGUGGGAGUGUAGAGAGUAAGUAGAAGUUAGUGAAGUUUAUUUAGGAUAAUUGGAAUUUAUUUUAAUAAUUAAAAUAAUACUAUUUUAUGGAAUUUAUUUAAUUAAAAUAAGAAUCUAGAGAGUUUGGGUGAAAUUUGUGAAUUAAGAGAAAUAUAGGGGAGGAAGGAGUAAGAGUAAUUGUUAGUAAGGGAGAGAAUUAUAGUUAUGACUAGAUUACCCUAGUUAUAUAAGGUUAAGAUAUAACCUAGGUUUAAGGAUUUUCCUAUCAGUGCAUGAAACGAGGAUUAGAGGCACAAAUGAGAUAUAAGGUUAGAGCUUUGGAGAGAAUGGAAGAACAAUCAGAGACCAGAAUUUUGCUAUUACUGCUAGGAAAACCAGGUAAGGGGGGAGAAUUGAUUCAAUAAUGGGUAUAUGCUUGAGGGGUAGAAUGAAGGAGUUCUUAACCUCCAUAAGGAUUCUUUGAGUCUUCAUAAAAUUCUGAUCUUGUGAAAAAUGAUUGAAUUGAUGUUUAUGUUGUUAGAUAUUAAAUUUGUGCAUUGUAAUAUGUAUGAAAUUAUGUUUUAAUUUGUGGAGGAAAGUUCACCAUUGUUGGGUGUUUGAAGGUUUGGGAAUAGCAUGAAUAUAUGAAAACCAUGAAAUAAAUGUAUUGAUUUGAUGAAUUUGGGUGUUGUUGAUGAUUAUAUAACAUGUAUAUGCUAUUAUGGGUCGAAUUUGUAUGAUUGAGACAGGAGUAUUGGAGUUCUGCAGUGAACUCCAUUUAGUAGAACAAAUUCUGCAACUUUCAAGGUAAUGACGGGCAUCACCACUGUGACGGGUAACCCGUCAUUCUGCCCAUGCUUGUGCUUCAAAUGGUCGUCAUUUGAGUGACAAUUUGGAUGUUUAGGGUUGGUGACAGGCGUCACUACUGUGACGGGUAACCUGCCAUGGGUCUGCAGUGAGUGCAAAUGCUCGUGUUGAUGAUAUUAAAUGUCAAAUUUUGACUUUUUGACUUUUCUGGAUGUUUUGGGUACUAUUAUACUAUGUUAGUUGUUGGUUUAAAUGAUGUUGGUAUGAUUUAACGAUUAAACACAAUUUUAAUUGAAUUUAAGAAGUAUUUGAUGAAUGUUGGAUAUGGUAUACAUGAGGAUGAUAUUGUGUUAAUUUGUAUGAAUUGUAAUGAUGAUAUGUUGUUGUAUUAGCAUGAAUUACGUUGUUGAAUUGUGAGUAUGUUGUUGUGGGAUGAUAGUUCGAGAGGGAAACUAUUAUCGUUGGGUCAAUGCAUAUUUUGUUUAUUGCUGGGAGGGGAAUUUAAACAUUAUGUUGUUCUUGAAUUGACGUGUUGUGACAUGCAUUCAUUAUGUCGCUGUUGUUGAUGAAAAAGGCAAGGUGCAAUUCUAAUAGGGUGGAUUAGUGACUUGUCUUGAAUCUGAGCAGGGUGGAUUAGGGAUUUGAGUAGGGUGAACCUGGUUCCUGAGUGAGCUAAUUAAUGAUGAUAUGGUACCAUAUGUGUGUAUUUGAAGUUGUUAGUCUCAUUGCAUAAUUGAAUCGAUGAAUAUGUGAUUGCAUUGUGUAUGAUGAUGGAUUGGAUGUGAGAAUAAUGUUGUGAGAUUGAUAUGGAUUGUGUAGAUGUUUGAAUUCUACUUUACAGCUUAUGCCGUUAAUUUAUUGAUGUGAAUUCUCACCCCCUUUGCUUUGAUGUUGUCCACCAUGGACAUCUUACAGAUACCGAGGAGUAGAGUUGCUACUAUGAGUGAGGAAUAACUCUUGGAGUUAUUUCCAUUUAGUUUCUUUGUUAUUUAGUGGAUAUGCUCUGAUCAUAUAACAUUGGGUCUGGGGCGUUUGUUUUACUUGUUAAAUUCGAAUUAAUGUCUUGAGGAGUUUUUAUGACGUUAUUUUGAAGUUGAGAACAAACAUAAUUUUGUCGAGUAUUUUAAUUUGAUUAUCCGCUGCUAUUUAAAUAAAGUUGAGAUGUUUUGAAGUUGGUAAUACUUUAAUCAGCGUAUAAUGCUUGUUAUAUAAGUUUUGCGGUUAGGGUGUUACAAUAGUGAUAUCAGAGCAGGUCAGUUCGUUUGGCCAGAUUUUUGCAUGAUAAUAGUUCCCUAGUAUGUAACAUGUGUGUGUACACUGUCGAUGCAUUGUUUCUUCCAUUGUAUAUUUAAUGGUGUGCAGAGUGGAUGGAAGAAAUGAUCGCGCAAUUGAUGAUGCUUUAGAGUAGGCACUACAUGGGCAAUAAAAUCAGGCUAGUGAUGAGUUCCGCGACUUGGGAAAGUUUUAGUGGAAUAAUCCACCGACGUUCAAGGGUAGGUAUGACCCAGAGGGUGCUCAUACAUGGCUGAAAGAGAUUGAAAAUAUUUUCCGAUUAAUGGCAUGUACUGAAGAGCAGAAGGUAUUGUUUGGUACUCACAUGUUGUCUGAAGAAGCUGAGGAUUGGUGGGAUAGCGCAUGCCAGAGACUAGAGGUUACUUGUACUGAGGUUACAUGGGUUAUAUUCAGACUGUAGUCUCUGGAGAAGUACUUCCUUGAGGAUGUGCGUAGCAAGAAGGAGAUUGAAUUCCUUGAGUUGAAGAAAGUAAUUCGACGGUUGCAUAGUAUGGUGUAAAGUUUGAGAAGCUAGUGAGUUAUGUACACAUUAUAAUAGUGAUGUUGACGAGGGUUCAAAAUGAAUCAAGUUUGAAAGUGGGAUGUGUAACACUCCGAUAAAAUAUGAUAAUUAUUUAAUUUAAGUUUAAUAGUAUAUUAUGAUGAUAAUAUGAAUGAGAGGGUAUUAUUUUUCAAAAUAAAAGAUAAACCAUUCAUAUAUAUUAUUAUUAUCCGCUUCUCUAAUCCCUUUCUGUUUAAUUAUCUGUUUUCAAUUUAUAUCUUUGGGUAUUGUCUUUUAAUUCACAAUUAAAAGUAACAACACUUGAAGAUUUUCGAAAGCAGCGUGUUUUCAGAAUCGAGAUUCCAGCUUUUAUGUUAACUGUAAAGUUCGUUUGAAAUUAGCCACAAAAAGGUGGAUUUGUUUUGAAUCCCCUUCAUGGCUAUUCUGUCAUUUCUUCUUAAUUCAAGGUUUGAAAGGAUUGGUCUAUUUAAAAUCCCUUCUAUAUCCCUUGUUUGAAUUUUUUUCCUUUAAUUAACCUGUUCUUCAAUCUUAGGAAAGAUUCGGUAUAAGUUUUCCAGCGAAAAAUAUGGCAGCUAUGAUGAAUUUAUACAAUUAACAUACAACUUCGCUUAGAUCCAUAUCAGAUCCUUUUAGAGGUGAAUUAAUGGAGUUCUUGAACCUUUUAUCAAAAGUCCUUCUCCGAAUUCAACACCAUCACCUUCUUCUUUCUUCUUCUUUCCAUUCUUUCUUUACCAAUGCAUGGUUGUUCAACAUCGAUGACCCAGGAUUACCACGGUUAUCGAAUAGCCAGAACUUCAUAGGCUUUGUUCAAAAACCAUCUUUUCUUCUCUUCUUGGUCUUACAUUUGACCCAUCUCAAAUCAACCAGAUCCAAAGCACAAAUCCAACACCAAAAACUUUACCUUGCAACAACAUCAACAACAGCAACGUCUCAGUAACACUCUUAGCUCCUCAGUCCGAAGCAAUCCCUAUGAAGCACGUGGGUAAUACUCCUUCAAAACC